CUGCCCAUUCCCCUUCUACUGCCCUUCCAACAGCUCCGCCAUGCUGUCCUGUUCGGGAGGCUGGAUGCCCGUCAACACCAGUGGCCCCCGUGCCUCCCAGGACAGCAGCUGUGUACUGUGUGAAGCGGGGACCUACCGUCCUCGCCCGUCACCCCAUCCCCACUGCCUCAGCUGCCCCGCUGGGUACCACUGCCCUCCAGGGACAGAGAACUACCACAGCAACCCCUGUCCCCUGGGACAUGUGUGUCCAAUGGGCUCCUCUACUCCGGUCGCAUGCCCUCCUGGUUCUUUUGGUAAUCUCUCCAAGGCUAGACGCCCUGAGGACUGCCACCCAUGUCCGCCGGACACCUUCAACCAUCUGGCUGCCCAGAGAGCCUGUUUUCCCUGUGGUAGCUCUGCCACUGCACCUCAAGGUCUCAACCAACAGUUGUACUUAGAGUGAAAGCUCUUGCCGUUUCACAUGAUUAGACCAGGAACGAUUCCUCUGACUUUAAAAUGUGUGUGUGUGUGUGUGUGUGUUUGCCCCCACUUGUGUGAUGUUUGUGUGGUGUAUUUCGACAUAUGUCGCUUUAAGUGGCAUCAUAAAGAGCGGCAAGUUUCAGCGCUUGAAUGCACAGCUAGCUGACGACCAUGUUUGCAUGUUGACCUGAAUUCUACGACAGGGGCCUCUACCUGCACCUGCGUUGGGAAGAACCGCGCUUUUCAGGUCUCCGACGGUUCCUGUCUGUGUCGAACAGGCUUUAUCUUCUACAACCAACUGGACUUCAAGAGCUCUAUUUCUGACAGUAAACUGGACUGCCAGCCUGAGGUUAACCAGCGUUGUAGGUUGGGACAGGUGCGUCUGGCCGCCUCCAGAGAGUGUGUCUUCCCCUCCCACUACUCCUGUAAUGUCACCUGUGGACCUCAGGGAGGGAGUCUGGAUGUGGAAAUGGGCAUCUGCCAUUGUGAGCGUUAUGUGUCAGUGGAGGAGCUAUGCAACAGCUCGUGUCUGUCCAGACUGCCCCAUGUCUCUGCCAGGCUCUCCCCGGGAGGUCAGCUCCUGGUGGGGAUCAAAGAACCGGAGGAAAGCCCAGUGUGGAGCCGAAGCGUUAUUGAUGUUUUGGGACCAGAUGUCCAUGUGAAGAAUAUUGGAAACAUCCACUUUGUUCAGUUUAGUUUUGAAGGUGUUUUCGGUUGGAUUCUUAUGGACCAAACAAUUAUUGAAAUGGCCCUGACAGCGGAGCCAAUCACAUUCCUUGACAGAGAAUACAGGAAGAAGAGGGAUGUUGAAUCCAUGGCAGAAAUUCUCUCCAAUACCCUCCCUCGUAUCCCCAACCCCAUAGCAUGCCUCUCUUCUAAUGACAUGCUCAUCUUCCAGCUCUCCAUCAAUUUCACUGACCGUCAACUCAGCCACUUCCCAGUGUAUCAGAAAGACAAUCUCUUCAACAGCAACCCUAGCUGGGACUUUGGGGCCUUCCGGCAUCUAGGGCAUCUUAUGAAACAGACUCAGUUCAACUCUACCAGAUUUGCCCAUGUGUUCUCUGACACGGGGAAGUAUGUGUUUGUGGACAACGCUGUCCCAGACUGGAGUCUGGUGGUGGUGGUUAGUGAGAGAGGGACAGAGUGUGACCCCGCUGCGGCCGUUUUCCAACCAAUGACCCCAUCCCAACUGGUCAGACAUGGGGUCAUCAAACAGCACCAGCUCAACCUGCUGCCAGACUGGGGUGCCAUCAUAGGUGUCCUGACUGUACUGCUGGUGCUCAUCCUGGUGCUCACUACCACAGCUCUGGUUCUGAAGCCCGGUCAGGCUAAGCUGCUCUCCCUGAGCAAACCGAAGCCAAAGUGGCGAAGCUUGGGAGAGCCCAUCCCUGCAGUGGAAUACAUCGACAUGGGAAACAGUGCGGACGUCCGUGGUGUUCUGGGCUGCAGGGGUGUGGGAGAGGGAGCUGAAUCUGAGGAGCCUGCAGCCUGCCGUGCAGGAGGAUACAGAACUGAGAAAUUUGAGCUGGAAGAGUUUAACGUGAAAACGCUCUACGACAAGCUAGAAGAUCAGAACUUGUAUUUGGCUUCCCAGCUGGCCUGGCAUCGCAAAGACACCCAAGAGUUCUACCAAAAUAUCUGCCAACAGAUGGAUGACCUGAAGGACAUUCUGGAGAACAUGGAGCCCAAAGAGUUUAGUCUGUUGAAAGAGCUAUUGGAGCGUGAUGCCUUACAUAAUGACUCAUACAUUAAUACUGAAACACAAGCAGAGCCAUCUGUAGUGCUGAUUGGGGCUGUAGUCCGAGCUCUGGAGGCUGUCCUCUACAGACUGAUAGGAGAGGGCUGGCAGCAGCAGGACAUGACAGCAGCACACUGCCACACAGACACCAGGGCUGAGCUGCACAUGGGCUACACACAGUUUUCCUCAGCCAAUAUUACCAAAGCUGCCUCAGGCCACGAAAGUGAGACCUCACGUCAUGAUCAAGUGUGUCUGCAGAGUACAGCCCCCUGUCUGAGUGAGCAGGACCUUUCCAAGCUUGUGGCGAUGACCCCUCUGUCCCGGACCCUGCUAGAGAUACAGGAGUCCCUCCAGAACCUACCGUGUUUAGACACAGCCAGGACUGACAAGACCACAGAGGACCCAGCCGUGCAGCUGAUCCCCAUUGCCCUGGACAGCCUCUCCCCACAGCAUUUUGCCAUCUUCAUGUUCGGCUGCUACGUUGUGAAAUUGCUGUGCAACACGCAAAACUUCCCACUGGUCACACUGCUUUUGGCCAAGAAGGUUCCUCUUGUCUCUGCCCAUGAGGCUCUGUUGUCACACUGCAAUGGAGACUUCUAUUUCGACGUCACCAACCAGAUUCUGUAUCUCUGUGAGGAAAGGCUUGAGAGUGUAGGACAGUUCAUUGCCACCCUGCUGCAGUCUAUGGCCUUUAUUGCUUCAGGUAAAUAUAAAAUUAUGUUUCAGGAAAUGAUGUUGUAG
ensembl:lncRNA